rnacentral:rRNA from 1 species
AUUGAACGCUGGCGGCAGGCCUAACACAUGCAAGUCGAGCGGAUGAAGAGAGCUUGCUCUCUGAUUCAGCGGCGGACGGGUGAGUAAUGCCUAGGAAUCUGCCUGGUAGUGGGGCACAACGUUUCGAAAGGAACGCUAAUACCGCAUACGUCCUACGGGAGAAAGCAGGGGACCAUCGGGCCUUGCGCUAUCAGAUGAGCCUAGGUCGGAUUAGCUAGUAGGUGAGGUAAAGGCUCACCUAGGCGACGAUCCGUAACGGGUCUGAGAGGAUGAUCAGUCACACUGGAACUGAGACACGGUCCAGACUCCUACGGGAGGCAGCAGUGGGGAAUAUUGGACAAUGGGCGAAAGCCUGAUCCAGCCAUGCCGCGUGUGUGAAGAAGGUCUUCGGAUUGUAAAGCACUUUAAGUUGGGAGGAAGGGCAGUAAGUUAAUACCUUGCUGUUUUGACGUUACCAACAGAAUAAGCACCGGCUAACUUCGUGCCAGCCGCCGCAGUAACAC